AUACGGAGGACGCGAGCGUUAUCCGGAUUCAUUGGGUUUAAAGGGUGCGCAGGCGGCCGUGCAAGUCAGCGGUGAAAGCCCGGGGCCCAACCCCGGAAGUGCCGUUGAUACUGCAUGGCUUGAAUGCGGUCGAGGCGGGCGGAACGGGGCGUGUAGCGGGGAAAUGCGUAGAUAUGCCACAGAACCCCGAUAGCGGAGGCAGCUCGCCAGGCCUGCAUUGACGCGCGGGCACGAAAGCGUGGGGAUCGACCAGGAUUAGAUGCCCUGGUAGUCCACGCCGUAAACGAUGGGCGCUCGUCGUCGGCGGCAGACAGUCGGCGGCCAAGCGAAAGCGAAAAGCGCCCCACCUGGGGAGUACGGUCGCAAGGCUGAAACUCAAAUGAAUUGACGGGG
rnacentral:rRNA from 1 species